rnacentral:rRNA from 1 species
GAAAGAGGGUGCAAGCGUUGUUCGGAAUUACUGGGCGUAAAGCGCGCGUAGGUGGCUUCGUGUGUCGGUUGUGAAAUCCCUUGGCUCAACCAAGGAAGUGCGCCCGAAACUGUGGAGCUCGAGUUUGGGAGAGGAUGGUAGAAUUCUCAGUGUAGAGGUGAAAUUCGUAGAUACUGGGAGGAACACCGGUGGCGAAGGCGACCAUCUGGACCAACACUGACACUGAUGUGCGAAAGCGUGGGUAGCAAACAGG